rnacentral:rRNA from 1 species
CCUACGGGGCGCACCAGUGGGGAAUAUUGCACAAUGGGCGCAAGCCUGAUGCAGCCAUGCCGCGUGUAUGAAGAAAGCCUUCGGGUUGUAAAGUACUUUCAGCGGGGAGGAAGGCGAUAAGGUUAAUAACCUUGUCGAUUGACGUUACCCGCAGAAGAAGCACCGGCUAACUCCGUGCCAGCCGCGGUAAUACGGAGGGUGCAAGCGUUAAUCGGAAUUACUGGGCGUAAAGCGCACGCAGGCGGUCUGUCAAGUCGGAUGUGAAAUCCCCGGGCUCAACCUGGGAACUGCAUUCGAAACUGGCAGGCUAGAGUCUUGUAGAGGGGGGUAGAAUUCCAGGUGUAGCGGUGAAAUGCGUAGAGAUCUGGAGGAAUACCGGUGGCGAAGGCGGCCCCCUGGACGAAGACUGACGCUCAUGCACGAAAGCGUGGGGAGCAAACAGGAUUAGAUACCCGAGUAGUC